GGGAAGGUGGUUCAGUGGUAGAGCACUUGCCUUGCAUGCAUGAGGCCCUGGGUUCGAUUCCUCAGCGCCA
rnacentral:tRNA from 1 species